AAGAUGAGAGCCUGUCUCGUUAGCCAAGGAGAAUGCCUGUAAACCACAUACAUAUUCAAAACCUUAGUUAGCCGCGUUAUUUCAUGCAAAGAUGAAAAAUCUGCGUGAAGCUGCAGGCAAGUCAUCCUUGGCUACCAAACAAGACUCUUCAUCU
rnacentral:pre_miRNA from 1 species